AAGGGUUUAUAUACCUUAAAUACAUAAUCAAAUAUCUAAAUAAGUUCAGUGAUUUAACAAGUCAACUAAACAUGAUAUUGGUGAAAAUUACCCAAAAACAUUUGAAACAGAAAUUCUGGACAGUAUCACUGUUCCAAGUUGUGACUCAGGUUUGAAGAUCUAUACGGACAAACUAGACUUUAUAGUCUUCACAAAAGUCGUAGAUCUAUGUCUUACCGUUUUAGAACAUCUUGAAUCACCACCAUAUCAAUUUUGAACAAAAUGUUAUGCUAAAUUUACUAACAGCAGUACAUGGAGUAUUUCAAGAACUGAAAAUCUGGACAGCACCUGCCCUGUACUUUCUGACUCUUUUUCAGGUACAUAACAACAAAACUAGAUUUUGAUUCCUUCAUAAGAGUUGUAGAUUUAUGAAAUACCUUUCCAGAAAGUCCUAGAUCACUUAAAUCGGAGCUCUGUACAAAAAGAUAUGUAGAAAAUACUAGUAGAUGUCUAGUAUAAAAACGGGUUAUAGAAACUUACCAAGAGGAACAACUUGAUCUUCACCAAAAACGAAUUUUGUGUGUUGAUUUAGUAGAAAUCCAUGGGUUUUUUUUUUAUGAACCUUCAGCUUCUUGUUCUUACAAAGGAGAAAGAUAGAGAUAGAGAGAUAGAGUAGAAAGAUAGAGAUAGAAAGAGAGAGAGGUAGAUAUUUCUUCUUCUUUGUUUCUGAAGAGUAGAAGAAUAUGGAGCUUACGGAUAGAUAUGAAAUAAAAUGAUUCCUCAACUACUAAAUAUUCUUAGAUAAAUACAAAAGGUUGGAAACCCAAAACUUAAUUAUAUACUAUAUUUAAUAACAACUCGUCAAA
rnacentral:lncRNA from 1 species